AUGAAGCUUGCCCGGACCACGCCGAUUUCAUUUCCUCAGAGCCCACAGCUGGCGUCAGGGAUGCAGAGCACUCCCGCAAGCGGCGGCGCCUUGAGGAUGCAGCGCUGGAUGGAGACGAGAUUGACUCAUACAAUGAUGCUAGUGAGGUUCGUUGCCAAUUCAAACGAUAUGCCUCCUGAAGAUAUCAGCGAUGCAACCGUCAGAAAGGAGGAAGAUGCAGAGGGCAUGUUCGUAUCCAACUCAAAUGGCUCCAGUUGGACUCGAAGAACUAGGAUCGGUAAGGCAGCAUAUGAGAGGGAAAUUAAUCCAAGCAGGUUCCUGCUCUCGAGGUUUCAAUACAUGCUUAUACUGAGAAAAAAAACUGGUGAUGAUCCAACUUGGAUUCCAGGAGGUUCCUCGGAAACAUGUCUUGAAACGUUGGACGAGGGAAGCAAGGUAUAUUUUGCCAGCAGAAUUUUUGCGCUGCUAGAAGGAUCAAGGUCCUCUGAAGUACUCUUCACGGAGACAUAA
rnacentral:rRNA from 1 species